rnacentral:lncRNA from 1 species
ACAUGUGAUUCAGCUCUCUAUUGUGAGUCUCGACUAGAUGGUAGGUCAUGGAUAAGUUAUCAAACCUCAUCAUCAGUCAUAUGAUAGAUUCGAUCAGCUCAAGUCCAAUUAUGUUCUUUAUGAAAAUUUUUUUUCAUCAAUCACACUACUGUGGUCAUAGACUCUCGGACUUAGCCUCUCAAAUCUCAUAGGAUGACUACUCUCUAUCAAGAUCGAUAGAUUCUAUCUUGAUGCAUACUAUACUCCUACAGUGGAUCAACUGUCGCCAACAUCCACUACAAGGGCUCAUUG